ensembl:snRNA U4 U4 spliceosomal RNA
AUUCUUUCGCAGAGGCAAUAUUGUAGUUUAUGAGGUACAUCUGAUGCGCGAUUAUUGCUGGUUGAAAACUUUAUCCAAUACCCCACCAGGAUGACUUGAAAUACAGUCAGCCUUGGCAAUUUUUGCCAGCUUCACUGGAAG